rnacentral:rRNA from 1 species
GACGGAGGGUGCAAGCGUUGUUCGGAUUGACUGGGCGUAAAGGGCGUGUAGGCGGUUGGUCAAGUCCGAUGUGAAAGCCCGGGGCUCAGCUUCGGAAGUGCAUCGGAAACUAGCCAGCUGGAGCGCGAUAGAGGAGGGCGGAAUUCCUGGUGUAGCGGUGAAAUGACGUAGAUAUCUGGAGGAACACCGGUGGCGAAGGCGGCAUCCUGGACCAAUUCUGACGCUGAUGAGCGAAAGCCAGGGGAGCAAACGGGG